UACGAAGGGGGCUAGCGUUGUUCGGAAUUACUGGGCGUAAAGCGCGUGUAGGCGGGUCCUUAAGUCAGGGGUGAAAUGCCAAGGCUCAACCUUGGAACUGCCUUUGAUACUGGGGAUCUUGAGUCCGGGAGAGGUGAGUGGAACUGCGAGUGUAGAGGUGAAAUCGUAGAUAUUCGCAAGAACACCAGUGGCGAAGGCGG
rnacentral:rRNA from 1 species